UUUUUUUUCUUUCAUUUUGAUUGACUGCCCACUUUAUUCCCAAUAUGCUUACACUGUAGUUUGGCUGAGGAAUCAUUUAUUAAGGAUUUUCUUCAACUUCUUGAGUUAAUAGCCUUUCAUUGAAAAUAUUUGGAUAAGCUGAUCAAUCAUAAAUAAAUGCAGGGUACUUACUCUUCUGUGAAAGUGAAUACAUACGCGAGUAUAAAGUUUGAUUCUGACAACUUGGGAUAUGGUUUUUGAGUAACAUUUAGCUGAAAGUAUAAAAUUUUAACAGCUCUGGCAUGUGCUGUAGAGGGGAAAAACUCAUUUUACUUUGCAAUAAACUUGUAAUUUUGUAAUGCUAAUUGGCUCAGUUCUUACUUUACAUGUUUUUUUAUUUAGCUAGCAUGGGCUAUGCUGUCUGGUCCAGUGUUUUCAAUGGCCACAUAAGGUCUAAUUUGGCAAAGGAUUGGAAGUAGGUCUAACUUGAAACAGAUGGGUGAUCCCCUUGUUAGCGGUAUCCAACUUAGAGUUCAGCUUCUUGUUUUGCAUCUACUUGCUGGGUAACCUGUGACAAUAAACUUUAAAAUCUUUUGACUUAAUUUUCUCGGAGAGGAGCGAUACCUGCUUCAUCAGGAUGGUUGGGGGAUUGCUUAGUUGUUACUGCUCACCAAGAUCCUCAGUUGUAUUUUAAGGAAUUUGAAUAAAGUUGGAUUGGUGUGAUUUCCCUCCUGGCAUUUUUGAUGUGUAAAGGUGAUCGGUGUACCUGAAAUAAGAAAUAUCUUCUGGUGCAUGAUAUCUUGAAUAGAGAGGACACAAGGUUGAUAUCCAUGCCACUGUUGUUAUUCCUAUAUGCUCUGGUGCUGCCUGUCCGGGAGGUGUGACCUCUUAUCAGUGACCAUGCCAGCAGUGAGCAGUUGGACUUGUCCGCGUAAUCCCUUUGCUGUUGGAAUCAAGCUCGCUUGGGUGUAAAACAUCUGGAAAUGGAGUCAGUACUGCAGAAUGAAGUAUAAAGCCAGCUUCCCUUCAGCAUCUUCCACCUACUGUUUGCAAAAAGUUAUUUUAACUUCACAACUUCAUUGAUCUUUUAAAUAUGUCCAAUGCUAUGGAAUAAUAAAAAAUUCAUUUAAUGUUUG
rnacentral:lncRNA from 1 species